GGAGAAAAGCAGGGGAUCGCAAGGCCUUGCGCUUUUGGAGUGGCCGAUGCCUGAUUAGCUAGUUGGUGGGGUAAGGGCCUACCAAGGCGACGAUCAGUAGUUGGUCUGAGAGGACGACCAGCCACACUGGGACUGAGACACGGCCCAGACUCCUACGGGAGGCAGCAGUGGGGAAUUUUGGACAAUGGGCGCAAGCCUGAUCCAGCAAUGCCGCGUGAGUGAAGAAGGCCUUCGGGUUGUAAAGCUCUUUCAGUUGAGAAGAAAAGGUUGUGGUAAAUAAUCACAAUUCAUGACGGUAUCGACAGAAGAAGCACCGGCUAACUACGUGCCAGCAGCCGCGGUAAUACGUAGGGUGCAAGCGUUAAUCGGAAUUACUGGGCGUAAAGGGUGC
rnacentral:rRNA from 1 species